GACAGAGGUGCCGAGCGUUAGGCGGAAUCACUGGGCUUAAAGCGUGUGUAGGCGGACUUCUAAGUACCUUGUGAAAUCCCACGGCUCAACCGUGGAACUGCUCGGUAUACUGGUUGUCUUGAGCCACUUAGGGGCAGUCGGAACAGACGGUGGAGCGGUGAAAUGCGUAGAUAUCGUCUGGAACGCCGAAGGUGAAAACAGGCUGCUGGGGUUGCGCCGACGCUGAGACACGAAAGCCAGGGGAGCAAACGGG
rnacentral:rRNA from 1 species